rnacentral:lncRNA from 1 species
CCGUCUGCUCAGGGUUGAGGAAUGAGACGGGUGUGGAGACUGAAUGCCUGACUGGGCUCUCAGAGGAAACAUAGGAAACCAUAAAAACUGCCAGAGCUGGAAGUGAGACCUUUUUCAUGAAGUGGCUAGGGCAAGAAAGAGGUUUGAUUCAGGUUCCUUGCUCUUAAAAGCUGAGGCUACUGCUGCAUCCUGUAAGGAGGGAAGAGGUUGGGAGCAUAUUUGUGUGUCAGUAUGACGUGGAUGGAGUGUGAGAUGGUGGAAAGGAAAUCCUCACAGAGCAGGAGGAAAAAAGAAUGGUCAAAAAUGUGUGCAGCCCUGAUCAGACUGGAAAGCUGCACUGGCCUAAGCUAAUGGAAGAACUGUAUCUAUCUUACAGUCUGCAAAUCUAAGGAAAAGAUCUUUUUCAGUGGAGCUGUCCUAUUGUUUUUAAUGAGUAGUCAUAGAUCCCAGAUCCUGCUGAUUUAAUGAUAUGUUAUCACUGUACAUUACAAGUUUUUGUGUGUUUUUUUUGUUUGUUUUGUAAAUAUUAUCAGGCUGAAUUUGUAUUAUCU